rnacentral:tRNA from 1 species
ACUAAAAUGGCAGAAAAAAGUGCAGUAGAAUUAAGCUCUACAAAUAAAAUUAUAAUAUUUUUUUUAGUU